UUCCGCAUGUGAGUCGUGAAAAAGGAUGUUUCAUGUAUUUCUGGGUGCUUUUUGUUGUUAUAAUUUGUGCUGAUUAUUUACAUUCUUGGCUAUUGUUUGCAUUUACAUCUCUUCAGAAACAAUAUUUAGGACUUCAUAGUAUCUGAUGGCAAAUAUAAAACAGAUAUAUAUAACUUUGAAUGCUUUGGCUUACAUUGAAGCUGGAUUUAUUAAAGGAGCCAUCUCAAGCUAUACCUGUCUAACAAUGCUUUGGUAAGUGUGUUUGUAUGAAAAAAGUAUUAAAAUGGUGUUACUUUAAAUAUCAGUAUUUCUUUAUUAAAAUUCUUACAAUUGUGUGUUCAUCUUUACAGCAUUUUCUCAAUGAGUGGAAUUGGGAAAUGUUUUGUCAUGCUUUUAGCAAAGUGAGCAAAUAAAGCAAACAUAUCUUAAGUUUUUAACAUAACUUUUUAAACAAUUUCUUAAAUCACUGAGUCUAUAGACAGGUAACAGUUUUAUGGUUAGAAGUUUAAACUGUAUAUCUGACUGAAUUUACUAAUUUUUUUUCUCAUCUUCCACUAAGAUUUUUCACUUGCAGGGGAAUCUCAUUGAGAUGAUUGAAAUCACUGCAGUGAGAAUGGAAAUUACUUGGGCUCCUUUCCUUUUAAAAACUGCAUGCAAGAACUGUGUGGUCGGAGUCCCAGUUCUCUUGGCCUUCCUUCAUGUCAAAGGUGCUUCAGUUCUCUCAUUGUCAUUAUGGAAGUAAAUAAAGUGUUUCAACUAAUAUGGGAAUUGGAACUCAAAGAAGGAAGUGCUUUUUGGGGGGGGGAGGUGCUGGAAACAAAACACAACCUAAUAACUGUAAAAAGAUCGUGAUGAUUACAAAAUGAAACACUAAGAAGUUGAGUAACUCCUGCUUUGAGAUUCUGCAAUCUUCAUUUGCCCCCUUGUGUUAGUGUACUAUGAAGCAAUCUUCAUGAUCAUAUGGAAUAUUUAAUCUAAUGAUAGGACUGGCCUGGUGUGGUACUGAGCUAGGGAAGAUGUUUGUGGGCUGAGCAAGCAAGAAGCCUGAUGCUGCUGUAGGUAGAAAAUUCUGUAGGCAACAGAAGACUGCAAAUAGAGAAAACCAUGUCCUCAUGAUUAUGUCAAAUGAGAAUUCCUGAGAAUUGGAUGUUAUGUUUUUCUGCUUUUAUCCUUAUAUGUUGCUAAACAAGUUACCAGGCUGUUGUUUUCACAGUACUUGUAUUCCUCCUUUCAGAGGUGUCUGACUUAUGAGCCUAACAGGAAACACUGGCUGUUCACAUUUGCAGCUGAGCUUCUUAGGAGAUGUUGUUUAAAUUAAAAUAUCAUGUGAUAUGAUGUCUGUUGACAGUCUCUUCUUGAACAAGGUACCUCACAUUCUUGCAUGCUACUAUAAUUUCAACAUCUCCAUGUCACAUUUAAAAGAGGGGCACUUAGCUUGAAGGGCUAUUGGUUCUCAGUUUAAAAACUCAGCACUUUUAUUUAGUGCUGUACUACAGUAAUCCUCAAGGAAUUUUCUGUGGCCUUUAUUCUGAUCUGAGAGGAAGAGGUGAGUAUUGUGCAUCUUUUAAAAACCAGGUCUGUAAUCACCUUUCCUUGUUGUCUGCUGAAGAGGAGAAACCGAGUUUCCACGUUUUUGAUUCAUGGUCUACUCAUCCAGUCCUGUGAACUCCAAAGCGUUGUGAUUUGUGUCCAGUCUUGUCAGGAAUUAAUUUUGCAUAUAUAGCUAUUAAUAUUAAACACUUGUUUGUCCCAUUUUUGUAAUGUGGUUUCAUGAGUAAUAUCUUUAAUAUUCUGCUGAACCUUUUACACACUAAAAGUAAUGUUCAUGGUUGAGCUUCAGCAUAUUUUACAAUAAAUUUUCUUAUAAAGA